rnacentral:rRNA from 1 species
AGCUUAUUGAUUUUUAUAAUGGGUAUUUUCUGCCCAGUGGUUUAUAAACGGCCGCGGUAUUUUGACUGUGCAAAGGUAGCAUAAUCAUUUGUCCUUUAAUUGGGGGCUAGUAUGAAUGAAAGUUCGAAAUUUCUGCUGUCUUCUUUUGUUGUAUUGGAAUUUGCUGUUUUUAUGAAGAAGUAAAGGUGACAAAAAAAGACAAGAAGACCCUAUUAAGCUUUACUUUUAUGGGUUGAUUUUUUUCUUGUUAGUAUUGUAUUAGGUUUUUAAGGGUUUGGUUGGGGUGACUGAGGCAGAGUUGAUCUUCCUUUUUUGUGGAUAACUUUUAAGUUUAAAUGAGACCCAAGAUUUUUUGGGUGUUAGAAUUAGUUACUAUAGGGAUAACAGCGUAAUUUUUCCGGAGAGUUCUUAUUGGAGGAGAAGUUUGCGACCUCGAUGUUGACUUGUUGUUUCCUUUUUGAGGUGUAGCCGCUGUGAGGGUUAGUCUGUUCGACUAUUAAAACGAUACGUGAGUUGAGUUCAGACCGGUGUGA